GGGGAUAUAGCUCAGCUGGGAGAGCGCAGCGUUCGCAAUGCUGAGGCCGGGGGUUCGAAUCCCCCUAUCUCCA
rnacentral:tRNA from 1 species